rnacentral:rRNA from 1 species
AUGUUUACUUCCAUUGUAGGUAACGUAUUUGGUUUCAAAGCCCUACGCCCGCCUCAUGGUAUCCAAGUUGAAAGAGAUAAGUUGAACAAGUAUGGUCGUCCUUUAUUGGGAUGUACUAUUAAACCAAAAUUGGGAUUAUCCGCAAAAAAUUAUGGUAGAGCGUGUUAUGAGUGUCUACGUGGUGGAGUUGAUUUUACCAAAGAUGAUGAAAACGUAAACUCACAACCAUUUAUGCGCUGGAGAGACCGUUUUGUCUUUUGUGCCGAAGCUAUUUAUAAAUCACAGGCCGAAACCGGUGAAAUCAAGGGGCAUUACUUGAAUGCGACUGCGGGUACAUGUGAAGAAAUGAUUAAGAGAGCUGUAUUUGCAAGAGAAUUAGGGGUUCCUAUU